GGAAUAUUGGUCAAUGGAGGCAACUCUGAACCAGCCAUGCCGCGUGCAGGAAGACUGCCCUAUGGGUUGUAAACUGCUUUUGUACGGGAAGAAAUGUUGCUACGUGUAGCAACUUGACGGUACCGUAAGAAUAAGGAUCGGCUAACUUCGUGCCAGCAGCCGCGGUAAUACGAAGGAUCCAAGCGUUGUCCGGAUUUACUGGGUUUAAAGGGAGCGUAGGCGGUCUCAUAAGUCAGUGGUGAAAGCCUUC
rnacentral:rRNA from 1 species